rnacentral:rRNA from 1 species
GCGUAAAGCGCACGCAGGCGGUCUGUCAAGUCGGAUGUGAAAUCCCCGGGCUCAACCUGGGAACUGCAUUCGAAACUGGCAGGCUAGAGUCUUGUAGAGGGGGGUAGAAUUCCAGGUGUAGCGGUGAAAUGCGUAGAGAUCUGGAGGAAUACCGGUGGCGAAGGCGGCCCCCUGGACAAAGACUGACGCUCAGGUGCGAAAGCGUGGGGAGCAAACAGGAUUAGAUACCCUGGUAGUCCACGCCGUAAACGAUGUCGACUUGGAGGUUGUGCCCUUGAGGCGUGGCUUCCGGAGCUAACGCGUUAAGUCGACCGCCUGGGGAGUACGGCCGCAAGGUUAAAACUCAAAUGAAUUGACGGGGGCCCGCACAAGCGGUGGAGCAUGUGGUUUAAUUCGAUGCAACGCGAAGAACCUUACCUACUCUUGACAUCCAGAGAACUUAGCAGAGAUGCUUUGGUGCCUUCGGGAACUCUGAGACAGGUGCUGCAUGGCUGUCGUCAGCUCGUGUUGUGAAAUGUUGGGUUAAGUCCCGCAACGAGCGCAACCCUUAUCCUUUGUUGCCAGCGGUUAGGCCGGGAACUCAAAGGAGACUGCCAGUGAUAAACUGGAG